AGUGUGCAGAACGGGCAGAAAAAGCAGUGUAACGGCUAGUUUCCAUGGGGGUUGGCUUAAAUAGCCACAGAAGACUGUAGCAAGGCAGAGAACAGUGAUUCCACUCCAACUAAUCAAGGAUUCAAGCUCUGCAACGUGCUCUUCAACGAAAAAGGGAAGAUCUGCAUUUACAGCUCCACCUACAUCUUCCCAGCAAUUAAAGCCUUCUCCUCCAGCAUUCAAGUCGACUACACAUUCGAGAGGAGACCGGAGUUCAAGAAGCCAUUCCUCUACAUUAGCUUAAAAGCGNN
rnacentral:lncRNA from 1 species